GUAGGUGAACCUGCGGAAGGAUCAUUACUGAAUUGUCGACACGAGUUGUUGCUGGUCUCCUCGCGGGGGCACGUGCACGCUCUGUUCACACAUCCACUCACCCCUGUGCACCCACUGUGGCUCCAUGGCGAGGGGGCUCGCCCUCUUGCCACGGUUCCGCGUCCUUACACACACACCGUAACAAAGUCUCAUGGAGUGUAUGUAGCGUCUAACGCAAUAUAAUACAACUUUCAGCAACGGAUCUCUUGGC
rnacentral:misc_RNA from 1 species